GCCCUUGUAGUCUAGUGGUUUAUGAUUCGCGCUUUGGGUUCUUAACAAUUUGCGCGAGGUCCCCGGUUCGACUCCGGGCAAGGGCC